GAUGAACGCUGGCGGCGUGCCUAAUACAUGCAAGUCGAGCGAACAGACGAGGAGCUUGCUCCUCUGACGUUAGCGGCGGACGGGUGAGUAACACGUGGAUAACCUACCUAUAAGACUGGGAUAACUUCGGGAAACCGGAGCUAAUACCGGAUAAUAUAUUGAACCGCAUGGUUCAAUAGUGAAAGACGGUUUUGCUGUCACUUAUAGAUGGAUCCGCGCCGCAUUAGCUAGUUGGUAAGGUAACGGCUUACCAAGGCAACGAUGCGUAGCCGACCUGAGAGGGUGAUCGGCCACACUGGAACUGAGACACGGUCCAGCCCCCUACGGGAGGCAGCAGUAGGGAAUCUUCCGCAAUGGGCGAAAGCCUGACGGAGCAACGCCGCGUGAGUGAUGAAGGUCUUCGGAUCGUAAAACUCUGUUAUUAGGGAAGAACAAAUGUGUAAGUAACUAUGCACGUCUUGACGGUACCUAAUCAGAAAGCCACGGCUAACUACGUG
rnacentral:rRNA from 1 species